GACAGAGGGUGCAAACGUUGUUCGGAAUUACUGGGCGUAAAGCGCGUGUAGGCUGCUCAGAAAGUCGGCUGUGAAAGCCCUGGGCUUAACCUAGGAAGUGCAUUCGAAACUUCUGAGCUUGAGUUCUGGAGAGGAAGGCGGAAUUCUCGGUGUAGAGGUGAAAUUCGUAGAUAUCGAGAGGAACACCGGUGGCGAAGGCGGCCUUCUGGACAGUGACUGACGCUGAGACGCGAAAGCGUGGGGAGCAAACAGG
rnacentral:rRNA from 1 species